UACGGAGGAUGCAAGCGUUAUCCGGAAUGAUUGGGCGUAAAGCGUCCGCAGGUGGCUAUGUAAGUCUGCUGUUAAAGAGUGAGGCUCAACCUCAUAAAAGCAGUGGAAACUACAUGGCUAGAGUGCGUUCGGGGCAGAGGGAAUUCCUGGUGUAGCGGUGAAAUGCGUAGAGAUCAGGAAGAACACCGGUGGCGAAAGCGCUCUGCUAGGCCGUAACUGACACUCAUGGACGAAAGCUAGGGGAGCGAAUGGG
rnacentral:rRNA from 1 species